UGCGAUUGUGCUUCUCCUUGUGGU
rnacentral:siRNA from 1 species